AAAUGGGAGCUUGCUCCCAUUUCUCAGCGGCGGACGGGUGAGUAACACGUGGGCAACCUGCCCUACAGACUGGGAUAACUCCGGGAAACCGGAGCUAAUACCGGGUAAUACAUAGCAUCGCAUGAUGCAACGUUGAAAGUUGGCCUUUGGCUAACACUGUAGGAUGGGCCCGCGGCGCAUUAGCUAGUUGGUAAGGUAACGGCUUACCAAGGCCACGAUGCGUAGCCGACCUGAGAGGGUGAUCGGCCACACUGGGACUGAGACACGGCCCAGACUCCUACGGGAGGCAGCAGUAGGGAAUCUUCCGCAAUGGACGAAAGUCUGACGGAGCAACGCCGCGUGAGUGACGAAGGCCUUCGGGUCGUAAAGCUCUGUUGUUAGGGAAGAACAAGUACCGUUCGAAUAGGGCGGUACCUUGACGGUACCUAACCAGAAAGCCACGGCUAACUACGUGCCAGCAGCCGCGGUAAUACGUAGGUGGCAAGCGUUGUCCGGAAUUAUUGGGCGUAAAGCGCGCGCAGGCGGUCUCUUAAGUCUGAUGUGAAAGCCCACGGCUCAACCGUGGAGGGCCAUUGGAAACUGGGGGACUUGAGUGCAGAAGAGGAGAGUGGAAUUCCACGUGUA
rnacentral:rRNA from 1 species